UACGUAGGGGGCAAGCGUUGUCCGGAAUUAUUGGGCGUAAAGAGCUCGUAGGCGGCUUGUCACGUCGGGGUGUGAAAGCCCGGGGCUUAACCCCGGGUCUGCAUUCGAUACGGGCUAGCUAGAGUGUGGUAGGGGAGAUCGGAAUUCCUGGUGUAGCGGUGGAAUGCGCAGAUAUCGGGAGGAACACCAGUGGCGAAGGCGACUACCUGGCCUGUUCUUGACGCUGAGGCGCGAAAGCUAGGGGAGCAAACGGGG
rnacentral:rRNA from 1 species